UGCGUAGGCGGGUUUCUAAGUCAGAGGUGAAAGCCUGGAGCUCAACUCCAGAACUGCCUUUGAUACUGGAAGUCUUGAGUAUGGCAGAGGUGAGUGGAACUGCGAGUGUAGAGGUGAAAUUCGUAGAUAUUCGCAAGAACACCAGUGGCGAAGGCGGCUCACUGGGCCAUUACUGACGCUGAGGACAAACGUAGGGAGGCAAACA
rnacentral:rRNA from 1 species